rnacentral:rRNA from 1 species
AGAGUUUGAUCCUGGCUCAGGAUGAACGCUGGCGGCGUGCUUAACACAUGCAAGUCGAACGGGAAACCUUUUAUUGAAGCUUCGGCAGAUUUAGAUUGUUUCUAGUGGCGGACGGGUGAGUAACGCGUGGGUAACCUGCCUUAUACAGGGGGAUAACAGUCAGAAAUGACUGCUAAUACCGCAUAAGCGCACAGAGCUGCAUGGCUCGGUGUGAAAAACUCCGGUGGUAUAAGAUGGACCCGCGUUGGAUUAGCUGGUUGGUGAGGUAACGGCCCACCAAGGCGACGAUCCAUAGCCGGCCUGAGAGGGUGAACGGCCACAUUGGGACUGAGACACGGCCCAGACUCCUACGGGAGGCAGCAGUGGGGAAUAUUGCACAAUGGGGGAAACCCUGAUGCAGCGACGCCGCGUGAAGGAAGAAGUAUCUCGGUAUGUAAACUUCUAUCAGCAGGGAAGAAAAUGACGGUACCUCCCCUAAAAAACACCCCCCUAAUAACUUGCCAGCAGCCGCGGU